GACGAACGCUGGCGGCGUGCCUAAUACAUGCAAGUCGAACGCAUUUUCUUUCAAUGUAGCUUGCUAUACCGAAAGAAAGUGAGUGGUGAACGGGUGAGUAACACGUCGGUAACUUGCCCAUAAGUGGGGGAUAACACUUGGAUACAGGUGCUAAUACCGCAUAAUUCCAUUUACCGUAUGGUAGUUGGAUGAAAGGCGCUUUUGCGUCACCGAUGCAUGGACUCGCGGUGCUUUAGCUAGAUGGUGGGGUAACGGCCUACCAAGGCUGCGAUGCAUAGCCGACCGGAGUGGGUGGGCAGCCGCACUGGGACGGUGACACGGCACAGUCGCCUUCGGGAGGCGGCAGUAGGGAAACGUCGGCAAUGGACGCAGAUCAGUCCGAGCAGCGCCGCGUGAGUGAAGAAGGAUGUCGGGUUGUGAAACUCUGUUGUUAGGGAGGAACAAGGAUGAGAGUGGAAAGUUCAGCCCUUGACGGUAACGAGCCAGAAAGCCACGGCUAACUACGUG
rnacentral:rRNA from 1 species